UCAAUGGACAGCCACGUGGUAGUAUGGUUGACUAGGCUUAAUUUAGGCACAUAUCACACCCCAUAGUGCAGGUAAACGUUUUUAAUGUCAUUACUGUCAGCUCCACAACCCGCUGAAGCGAUGCGUUCCCUUUCAACCACCAAUUUCAUGGCACCGUUUGUUUGCGCAUGGCCAGUUGCUCUCUAGGUCUUUCGGUCCCCCUCGAAACAACCGAAAUCUUUGCACUACAACAUCUUAUCACUGGAGCGUCAACGCUUGGGGGUAUUUGGCAAAAUAAGGAAGGGUGGCCAAAUCAUGACCUGAGCAGAUCGACUGAAUUUCGAUGGAGUCUUUGAAUGCCGUAGAGCUCUGUGAAUUGGGGGAUGGCGACAAGCCUGCUGCCUGCGAGGUCACUACAACUCCGCGAAAAGCUACCCAGUCAAGACCUCAGACAGUAGCUAGCACUGGAAUCGAGAACACGUCAUAUCAGGACGAGGAGCACGAGACGAGGUUCAGUCCCCAGGGAGCAGACCGCUCGAGUGUUCAUCUGUCCACGUCUAAUGACAGGGGCUAUCAGUCACAACCCAGGCCUUUCCAGCGAGAUGAGCUGUCACACCGCUCUGAGGCAGGACAUGAGACUGACUUUAAAAACCAUUCACUCGACUACGGGUUCCUAUUUGCCAUGGUGUUCUUGGUGAGUGGAAUUCUACUGGUGGUCAUUGCCUACACCAUUCCCCGAGAGGCUAAGGUCAACCCAGACCUGGUGUCAGCUCGUCAGAUGGAGAAACUGGAGAUGUAUUACACACAACUGGGCUCGCACCUCGACAAGUGUAUCAUAGCAGGCCUGGGACUGUUGACUCUAGGGGGAAUGCUCUUGUCCAUCUUGCUAAUGGUGUCCAUAUGCAAAGGUGAGCUGUACCACCGGAGGACAUUUUUCCAACCCAGGAAAACAUACGGGUCGAUUCACCUCCGGAUGAGACAGUUGGGCGAGGGGGAAGAAUCUCUGUUUGAAUGUGAACUUAGCCACACUGGCACCACAGCUCUAGCCACUAGCCCUACAGAUGGAACACAGGUGCACAGUGGCACCCAACAGGAGUAGCACAAUAUGAGCACGUUUCUAUCCACAGACCUAUUUCAAGGGUUGUAAUCAUUACUUAACGGGCUUUGUAAAAAAGUGAAGCCAGCAAGAAAGUAAGAGUCCUGCUACGUGGAACAUCUUCGAUCCUCUGAACUGUCCUCAGGCAACUCAAUAUCAGAGUUCAACGAUACAUCCACCCUCUCAGCAUACAACACAGGAGGCAGAUUGCUCCUGAGGCUCAAGAGAUUCAUACAACUAUACUGAAAAGAUGGCAGAACCUACAUACCAGACCUUACUUCGUCUCCAUAUUAGAGGUCGACCGAUUAUGAUUUUUCAACGCCGAUAUCAAUACUGAUUAUUGGAGGACGAAAAAAAGUCGAUACCGAUUAAUCGGCCGAUUUUAAAAUAAAUAAAAAGUGUUUAUUUGUUAUAAUGACAAUUACAACAAUACUAAAUGAACACUUAUUUUAAUAUAAUACAUCAAUAAAAAUCAAUUUAGCCUCAAAUAAAUAAUGAAACAUGUUAAAUUUGGUUUAAAUAAUGCAAAAACAAAGUGUUUGAGAAGAAAGUAAAAGUGCAAUUAUUGCCAUGUAAAAAAGCUAACGUUUAAGAUCCUUGCUCAGAACAUGUGAAAGUUGGUGGUUCCUUUUAACAUGAGACUUCAAUAUUCCAAGGUAAGAGGUUUUAGGUUGUAUAGUAUUUAUAGGACUAUUUCUAUCUAUACCAUUUUUAUUUCAUUAACCUUUGACUAUUGGAUGUUCUUAUAGGCACUUUAGUAUUCCCAGUGUAACAGUAUAGCUUUCGUCCCUCUCCUCCACCCUACCUGGGCUUGAACCAGGAACACAUUGACAACAGCCACUGUCGAAGCAUCGCUCCACAAAAGCCGCGGGGAACAAUCACUCCAAGUCUCAGAGCGAGUGACGUUUGAAACACUAUUAGCGCGCACCCCACUAACUAGCUAGCCAUUUCACAUCAGUUACACCAGCCUAAUCUCGGGAGUUGAUAGGCUUGAAGUCAUAAACAGCGCUGUGCUUGCGAAGAGCUGCUGGCAAAAUGCACGAAAGUGCUGUUUGAAUGAAUGCUUACAAGCCUGCUGCUGCCUACCAUCGCUCAGUCAGACUGCUCUAUCAAAUAUCAAAUCAUAGAAUUAAUUAUAACAUAAUAACACACAGAAAUACGAGCCUUUGGUCAUUAAUAUGGUCAAAUCCGGAAACUAUCAUUUCGAAAACAAAACGUUUAUUAUUUCAGUGAAAUACAUAACCUUUCUGUAUUUUAUCUAAUGGAUGGCAUCCAUAAGUCUAAAUAUUGUUAUUACAUUGUACAACCUUCAAUGUUAUGUCAUAAUUAUGUGAAAUUCUGGCAAAUUAGUUCGCAAUGAGCCAGGCUGCCCAAACUGUUGCAUAUAUCCUGACUCUGCGUGCAAUGAAUUGCAGAGAAGUGACACAAUUUCACCUGGUUAAUAUGGCCUGCUAACCUGGAUUUCUUUUAGCUAAAUAUGCAGGUUUAAAAAUAUAUACUUCUGUGUAUUGAUUUUAAGAAAGGCAUUGGUGUUUAUAGUUAGGUACAGUUGCAACGAUUGUGCUUUUUUCGCAAAUGAACUUUUGUUAAAUCAUCCCCCUGCGUUGCAUCAAUUAUAUGCAACGCAGGACAUGCAAGAUAACUACACAUGGUUGAUGAUAUUACUAGUUUAACUAGUGAUUAUAAUUGAUUGUUUUUUAUAAGAUAAGUUUAAUGCUAGCUAGCAACUUACCUUGGCUUCUACUGCAUUCGCGUAACAGGCAGGCUCCCCGUGGAGUGCAAUGAGAGGCAGGUGGUUAGAGCGUUGGACUAGUUAACCGUAUGGUUGCAAGAUUGAAUCCCGGAGCUGUCAAGGUAAAAAUCUGUCAUUCUGCCCCUGAACAAGGCAGUUACCCCACCAUUCCUAGGCCGUCAUUGAAAAUAAGAAUGUGUUCUUAACUGACUUGCCUAGUAUAAUAAAGGUGUAUUUUCUCAUUUAUUUUUUAUUUUAAAAAAGAAACUCAGCCAAUUCAGUGUCCAAAAAUACCGAUUUCCGAUUGUUAUGAAGCGGCCAUUCCGAUUAAUCUUCGACCUCUACUCCAUAUAUCAACGCAUAUGGUGAGGAAGAUGACCCUCCCAUCCACAGUUGGUGGAUGUCCUGAAGAUCAUCAUGUAAAACAAAUUGAAUUUGGACUAUGACUUCACUCUUCAAUACGAAGAUCCUGACUUUGAUGGACAAUUGUGCUGUCUAGUGGACAUUGAGGAGUUUCCUGAGGAAGCUGUCCUGAAGAUAAUUGGAUCAGAAAGUGAUGCCAACUCAACUGAAUCUGGAGACGCAGAUAUACUGCCCCACGCCAGAGAGUCUCCAGAGUGCCUAGAGAAGUGGCCUGACGGUUUUCCGGGUGCCAUCUUUUUCUUAUGAUAUUGAGCACAUGCUUAGAGAAGGAAAUAGUUGCUAUGAGAACUGGAAAGACUCUUAAAUUAACAAGAGCCCAGAAGCAUGACAUUCUUGAGAACAUAGCUAAAGCCAUACACAGCUUCAAGACCUAUCCAAGUGAGGGAGAAAUAGGCAAGGCUACCAAAGCGCUUGUUACCAAGCACCCAUGUCUCAAAGGAGCAGGGAGUCGGUCUGGAUGGUAUGCAUGGAUGACUGGUCUGAAGUUCAAGAUGGGGAACUAUCGGACCAAGUUGAGCAGAGCUGGAGUUCCUGAGUUCUAUCUCAAUGCAGGCAAAAGGAGCAGAAACAACCUAGAGAGAGAGUCACCCCACUCAAACAUCAAGAGACCCAGACGAGUUGAGGUAAACGUCCUGCCAUGCUUGAGAGACCCAGAGUCUCUCAAGCAGCUGAGACAACAAAUCAUCAACCAAGUUUCAAAGACUGAGUGAAACCUGCCAUUAAUAGACAAGCUGAUGCAGACAACUUUUGCCCUUUGAUGAAAUGAGAUCGUAAAUGAUGGACCGCCAGUGAAAUGGUUCCCAAGGGAACUGGCCAGCCCUUCCCAUGGAGUCUCAGGUAAAACAGCUGUUAUCCCUUUCUCUUUCUCUUAUUUUGUCUCUGUCUCCCUCUUGCUCCCUUUAACCCUCUUCCCCUUUGUAAGAUCUUUCUUUCAGUCAACAUUGUGUUCAAUGGGGCUUUUGUUUGUGGUUUGUUGAUGCAUGUGUGUGCAGAGUUCCACCGCAUAACAAACAUCAUUUUGAAGAGCCCGAUUCUAUGCCAAGCUUACAUUUAUGCAUGUUUCAGGUGGAGGAAACUGAAGAGCCAGACAUUACACACCUGUCGCUCUCCUCACUAUUCUCAGUGAGAACUGAACAUGUCCUUUUCAACCCAGCCAGGAUUGCUGUUGUGCUAGAAGGUGACAUUAUAAUGAAUGAUCUCCCCAGGUUGGCUGAUGCAAUUAUGUUAUUUCUUGCAUCUGAGUUAUCCCAAGCAGCUGAUCCAUACUUCUGACUUCAUACAAAAAAGUUCUAGGCUGAUGGGAAAAUGCUUAAACCCAAGCUUGUGUCUCUGAAAAUGACCAAGACUAAUGAUGUAUGGGUCUGUGUGGGUAUUUACCAUCAGUGAGGUUGUAGAUGCUGCAAGGCCUUUCUCGUGUGGGUCCACAUUGUCCCAUCAUUGCCUUGUUAAUCGCAGUAUAGGCUCACACAGCCACUGUUUCCAAUCAAAAACCAUACAUUCUUUCAAAGUUAUAAAUGUUUUCCUUUCAUUGUCAUUGAUGUUUGACAUAAACCACGUCCAGUGGGUGUUAUUUUUGACCUCACAAAUGUUUUAGCUGUUCUGCUCUUCAGUAGAACUCAAUAGAAACGGAGAUAUCUCUUUUUGUACUGCCGCAGUCAAUCAACCCGUGAACAAUGUGGAGGGCUUGAUGAGAUAAGCGAGAGUUGAGAUUUGAUUUCCACUCCAAAUAAAGUUGUAACGUACAUUAUGUUCUGAAUGUAAUGGAGGUUAGCAAGAGUUAAUAUGCACUAAAAAAAGCUGGAACAUAUUUUCUAAAAUGUAUGUAUUGCAAUGGUUCUAACAGUUAAUGGUUUUUGAUCAUGGCUGCAGCUUAAUGUGUUGUUCCUCAUUUUCCCGUUUUUGUCUAAUUGCUGCAGCCUCAUGCGGACAAUGUUUCCAAUGGAGAAUUCUGUGACACUGUUUGGAUAGUCCACCUGUAGAUAUUUAAUUGAGCAUUCAAAGACCAUCAACAAAUGUUAAAUUGUAUAUCAAACUAACCCUAACAUAUCAGCAGAGAUACAGUUGACAUUUUCUUAGUUUAUUGAUAGUUUGAGCAUGUACAGUACAGGGGACUAUCCAAAUGGAGUUACAGAAAAUUCGAAGUUCUCUAGAAGUUCAAAAAUGUUUUAACCAGGAUUCUAUCCAACCAUUUCAUGCUAGAGGGCACAUAAAGCCUACAUGAUGAGAUUGGACAAAGAAGCGAGAUACUUCUUUUAUUUGUGAAACUGCAACCAAGCAUCGAUGAUCAUGUCACCAGAAUAAGACCCUUGAUAUUUAUUGGAGAGGAGCACCUUGCACUUUCACCACCCUGUGAAGUUGAUCACAACUUAUUUCACCUGUCGUCUAAUAAACUGCAUGCUUUCCCGACAAGUCGCAGUGGGAGGACCACACGUCAUUGUGUAACUCCAAGUUUACUUCAAUAUAAUGGUUAUUAUCUAAAAAUGUCCUCAUAAAAGCGUUUCCACUUGUCUAUACUCGCAUAAAAAGGUUAGAUGGAAACUUGGUUAGUGUCACAUUUGGUUAUUGUGUUGGAGGCAGGUGUUUUGUUCAGUUGAAUACACAGGCAUAGGAAUAUUAAAGUUUGCGUUGUCAAGAACAUUUUAAAUUGUUUACUUUAUUUGAUUCCUAAUUUUAUUUUGUACUGUAUAUUAAUAGCAAUCUAUGAUUGUUUUUUAAAUAUUAUUCAAGCCUUUAUAAUAAAGAUU